rnacentral:rRNA from 1 species
AAUACGUUCCCGGGCCUUGUACACACCGCCCGUCACACCAUGGGAGUCGAUUGCUCCAGAAGUGGCCUUAUGGUCCCCAAGGAGUGCUCGGUAACUGGGGUG